UACGUAGGCAGCAAGCGUUGUUCGGAAUUACUGGGCGUAAAGAGUGUGUAGGCGGUGCUCUAAGUCUGUUGUGAAAUCUCCCGGCUUAACUGGGAGGGUGCGGCGGAAACUGGAGUGCUCGAGUGUGGGAGAGGUAAGCGGAAUUCCUGGUGUAGCGGUGAAAUGCGCAGAUAUCAGGAGGAACACCGAUGGCGAAGGCAGCUCGCUGGGACGGUACUGACGCUGAGGCGCGAAAGCGUGGGGAGCAAACAGG
rnacentral:rRNA from 1 species